ACAAGGGCAUACGGUGGAUGCCUUGGUGCCAGCAGGCGAAGAAGGGCGCAGCGAGCUGCGAUAAGCCACGGGUAGCCGCAAGCAGGCUUUGAUCCGUGGAUACCCGAAUGGGGGAACCCACUGCGAGUAGUGUCGCAGUACCCAUACCUGAAUCCAUAGGGUAUGGGGGCCAUACCCGGGGAAUUGAAACAUCUUAGUACCCGGAGGAGCAGAAAACAACAGUGAUUUUCCAAGUAGCGGCGAGCGAACGGGAAAGAGCCUAAACCAUGUACGUGUUAAAGUCUGCCGGCGUUGCGGACAUGGGGUAGCGGGACACAUUGGGAGCUUCGGCAGGAGCUCGCAGCGGAAGUCAGUUUGUUAGUCGAAGCGGCCUGGAAAGGCCUGCCGCAGAAGGUAAAAGCCCUGUAGGCGAAAACAAACAGACAGCUGUAGAUGUGCACCCAAGUAGCACGGGACACGUGAGACCCCGUGUGAAUCAGGGAGGCCCACCUCCUAAGGCUAAAUACUAGCUGGCAACCGAUAGUGAACCAGUACCGUGAGGGAAAGGUGAAAAGCACCCCGGGAGGGGAGUGAAACAGAACCUGAAACCGUAUGCUUACAAGCAGUAACGGCACAAUGUCUUUUGAUACGUGUUGUUGCGUACUUUUUGUAGAACGGGCCAACGAGUUACGUUCUGCAGCGAGGUUAAGUGGUUCAGCCACGGAGCCGCAGCGAAAGCGAGUCUGAAUAGGGCGUCUUUAGUUGCAGGAUGUAGACCCGAAACCGAGUGAUCUACCCAUGGCCAGGGUGAAGCUUGUUUAAACGCAAGUGGAGGCCCGAACCCACCAAUGUUGAAAAAUUGGGGGAUGAGCUGUGGGUAGGGGUGAAAAGCCAAUCGAACUCGGAUAUAGCUGGUUCUCCCCGAAAUAGCUUUAGGGCUAGCGUCGGCAGAUGAGUCGUGGAGGUAGAGCACUGUUUGGGCUAGGGGCCUCACCCGGUUACCGAACUCAGACAAACUCCGAAUGCCAUAGACUUUCAUGUCGGCAGUCAGACUACGGGAGCUAAGUUUCGUAGUCGAGAGGGAAAGAGCCCAGACCGUCAGUUAAGGUCCCCAAGUAUAGGCUAAGUGGAAAAGGAUGUGGAAUUGCAGAGACAACCAGGAUGUUGGCUUAGAAGCAGCCAUCAUUUAAAGAGUGCGUAAUAGCUCACUGGUCAAGUGGUUCUGCGCCGAAAAUGUAACGGGGCUAAGCGGGGCUAAGCCUAUCACCGAAACUACGGCUUGUCAGGUGCUUAACUUUCGCCUUAACUAGUGGAGUAAGAGUGUGUUAGAUUUGGCGGCAGCGUCAUCUGGAUCUCCACAUAAGAGCUGAGGGAAACGGCGAUAACGGUCGUCAAAUUUCCCUGUUAAGCCUCAGUUGAGGCGUCAGUUAAGUACCUGACAGGGGUAGGGGAGCGUUCUGGUUGUGCUGAAGCGGUACCGAGAGGAGCCGUGGAACGACUAGAAGUGAGAAUGUUGGCAUGAGUAGCGAGAAGGCAAGUGAGAAUCUUGCCCGCCGAAAGCCUAAGGUUUCCUGAGGAAGGCUCGUCCUCUCAGGGUUAGUCGGGACCUAAGCCGAGGCAGAAAUGCGUAGGCGAUGGACAACAGGUUGAUAUUCCUGUACCACCUGCAGGCGUUAACAGCGAUGGGGUGACGCAGAAGGGUAGGCGCAGCGCACCGUUGGUAGUGUGCGUUCAAACGUUUAGGGAGUGCUGGCAGGCAAAUCCGUCGGCACGUCAAUCCUGAGGCGUGAUGAGGAGCGAAUUAUAGUAGCGAACUGGCUGAUCCCAAGCUGCCGAGAAAAACCUCUAGUGAGCAUGUAGGUGCCCGUACCGCAAACCGACACAGGUAGGCGAGGAGAGAAUCCUAAGGCGCGCGGAAGAACCUUCGUUAAGGAACUCGGCAAAUUGACCCCGUAACUUCGGGAGAAGGGGUGCCUCGUUAGGGUGAUAGAUUAUCUUGAGCCCGAGGGGGCCGCAGAGAAUAGGCCCAAGCGACUGUUUAGCAAAAACACAGGUCUCUGCGAAGUCGUAAGACGACGUAUAGGGGCUGACGCCUGCCCGGUGCUGGAAGGUUAAGAGGAGAGGUUAUCCGGCACUCAACUGUUUCUAUCAUUAGGAGGUAGACUAUGUAUUACGUCUACGUUAUAUGUAGCCAGGAGUUGCGAAACUGAUGCCAGAGCUAGAGAGAAAACCCUGAAAGUAUCAGGCCAGGCUCGGCGUUGGUUAAAGGAGCGUAUACGAAAUAGUAUAAAAGGGUAGAAACAGUUGAGUGCCGGAGAAGCUUUGAAUCUAAGCCCCAGUAAACGGCGGCCGUAACUAUAACGGUCCUAAGGUAGCGAAAUUCCUUGUCGGGUAAGUUCCGACCCGCACGAAAGGCGUAACGACUUGGGCGCUGUCUCGACGAAGGAUCCGGUGAAAUUGUAGUACCUGUGAAGAUGCAGGUUACCCACGACAAGACGGAAAGACCCCGUGGAGCUUUACUGCAGCCUGAUAUUGGAUUUUGAUAUGGGAUGUACAGGAUAGGUGGGAGACAUGGAAGUCAGGGCGCCAGCUUUGAUGGAGUCACCCUUGGGAUACCACCCUUUUCAUAUUGGAGUUCUAACCGCGAGCCGUGAUCCGGUUCCGGGACAUUGUCAGGUGGGCAGUUUGACUGGGGCGGUCGCCUCCCAAAAGGUAACGGAGGCGCUCAAAGGUUCCCUCAGCGCGGUUGGGAAUCGCGCGUAGAGUGUAAAGGCAUAAGGGAGCUUCACUGCGACACCGACGGGUGGAGCAGGGACGAAAGUCGGACUUAGUGAUCCGGCGGUGCUGCGUGGCAGGGCCGUCGCUCAACGGAUAAAAGCUACCCCGGGGAUAACAGGCUUAUCUCCCCCAAGAGUCCACAUCGACGGGGAGGUUUGGCACCUCGAUGUCGGCUCAUCGCAUCCUGGGGCUGAAUUCGGUCCCAAGGGUUUGGCUGUUCGCCAAUUAAAGCGGUACGCGAGCUGGGUUCAGAACGUCGUGAGACAGUUCGGUCCCUAUCUGUCGUGGGCGUAGGAGAAUUGAGGAGAGCUGUCCCUAGUACGAGAGGACCGGGAUGGACAGACCUCUGGUGUACCAGUUGUCAAGCCAUUGGCACUGCUGGGUAGCUAUGUCUGGACGGGAUAAGCGCUGAAAGCAUCUAAGCGCGAAGCCCCCUUCAAGAUAAGUUCUCCCACCCGGCACUCAACUUUUUCUAUCAGAUUAUAUGCCGUU
rnacentral:rRNA from 1 species